UACAGAGGUGCCAAGCGUUAGGCGGAAUCACUGGGCUUAAAGCGCGUGUAGGUGGGUCGUUAAGUGUCCGCGUGAAAUCCCACGGCUCAACCGUGGAACUGCCGGGCAUACUGGCGAUCUUGAGGCAUUCAGGGGCGAGCGGAACAAAUGGUGGAGCGGUGAAAUGCGUAGAUAUCAUCUGGAACGCCAAUGGUGAAAACAGCUCGCUGGGGGUGUACUGACACUGAGACACGAAAGCCAGGGGAGCGAACGGG
rnacentral:rRNA from 1 species